rnacentral:rRNA from 1 species
AUACCAGCACCCCGAGUGGUCGGGACGUUUAUUGGGCCUAAAGCAUCCGUAGCCGGUUCUACAAGUCUUCCGUUAAAUCCACCUGCUUAACAGAUGGGCUGCGGAAGAUACUAUGGAGCUAGGAGGCGGGAGAGGCAAGCGGUACUCGAUGGGUAGGGGUAAAAUCCGUUGAUCCAUUGAAGACCACCAGUGGCGAAGGCGGCUUGCCAGAACGCGCUCGACGGUGAGGGAUGAAAGCUGGGGGAGCAAACCGGAUUAGAUACCCGGGUAGUCCCAGCUGUAAACGAUGCAGACUCGGUGAUGAGUUGGCUUUAUGCCAACUCAGUGCCGCAGGGAAGCCGUUAAGUUUGCCGCCUGGGGAGUACGGUCGCAAGACUGAAACUUAAAUGAAUUGGCGGGG